AUGCGCACUCCCCAGUCCAUGCAGGGAGAGAGACAGGAGCGGCAGUCAGAGCAGCUUUCCUUACCUUGAACACAGAAGAGAGAUCUGCAAACCCCCCUUUUGCUUUGGGCUCUGUUGGGUUUGUGUGUUGAUGGAUCACCCAUCUGGCUAAUGAACACUAUGAAAACAUCCUUCUCAGCCCCUUCCUCCUAAAAUUGUGUUUAUCUCUGAAUAAACUUUUAAAAAACUG